GGCCCUGGUUUGUUGUGGGAUACUAUUGAAACUAGUCUCUGGUUCGGAGACACCGACAUUGCUCGCUUCUGGUCCAUCCGAGCUGAGCGGGCAGACAACUGGGACCUUACAGAGAUCGAUGCCAUUCAGCCAGAUCUAUCUUUUCUUGCCAACCGAGAGUCGGAACUAGAACAGGAUUAUGUUUGCCUAUUCCAACGUAUAACGCUGCCUGUCUUUGACAUGAUGGGGCUUAUUGACUGUAUACCACUGGAAGCAUUGAGUUUAGUUCCUCCUCCCCAGCAACCAAGCCUGUUAUCAGGAGACCUUGGUACUGUACCACAUAUGUCCCAACCAGCCCCAGAGAUGGAAGACCUUAUUGACUUGUCCUGGGAAGACACCCAGCUGGCAGGUGGGAAUGGGACCGAGGUCUCUCUACAGGCCCUACAGGGAUGCUGGGCAGUCAGCCCAGAUCCCCAGCGGCAGUAUGUAUCCCAGGGAGCUGAAGGUGCUGUACUUCCUCCCCAGCGGCAGUGUGUCCUGCAGGAAGCGGAGGCAGUCGGUCUCGCUCCCCAGCAGUAGGGCAAUAUAUUAAAAGGGGAGACAGUUGGUCCCCCUCUCCAACAGCAGAGAGUGUUCCAGGGAGAGGAACCGGUUAUCACCUCUCCCCAGCAACAGGACAAAUUAUUGAAAGGGGAGACAGUCGGUCUCCCCCUCCAACAGCAGAGAGAGUGUCAGGGAGAGGAGCUUGUUAUCCCCUCUCCCCAGCGGCAGUGUGUACCCCAGGGAGCAGAAGGUGCCAUCCUUCCUCCCC